AGCUAUAUUGUAUGUGAGGGCAUUCAACCAACCUUUGUGACAGGGCUUGCUGCACUGUUUUCAAUGUACUACAUCUACAAUAUCAAGAAGAGGCUGCAUGUACACUUGAAUUCAUCCAGAGGCCCUUUCUUGAUAUCAACCCUGAAAGAGGGACCAAGGCCAGCUGUGGCAAGAUCGUCUCCAAGAGGACAGGAAAUACUGUUCAAAAGAAGUUGGUCACUGUCAACCCCCGUGUUUCAACUCUGC